rnacentral:siRNA from 1 species
AGAGCAGUUGUGAUCUUAGAUCUU